rnacentral:rRNA from 1 species
UUGAACGCUGGCGGCAUGCCUUACACAUGCAAGUCGAACGGUAGAGGGGCAACCCUUGAGAGUGGCGAACGGGUGAGUAAUGCAUCGGAACGUGCCCAGUCGUGGGGGAUAACGCAGCGAAAGCUGUGCCAAUACCGCAUGUGAUCUGUGGAUGAAAGCAGGGGACCGCAAGGCCUUGUGCGAUUGGAGCGGCCGAUGUCAGAUUAGCUAGUUGGUAGGGUAAAAGCCUACCAAGGCGACGAUCUGUAGCUG